CUGGAAGCGUUUUACUAAUUCCCGAAUCUUUUCUUCCACUGUCCACUACUCACUGGCAACAUGGCACGCCACACGUGAUCACGCUCCAUUGCUUGCCGCCAAUCUCCCACGUAGCCUUUUACGUCAUCCUUUUCAAACUUCUCGGGACUCCCAAACUGGUUUUUCCUCAUAUCCAACGGUUCUAAUUGAUGCUUAACCAUCAAUUUCUGUGUUUCAGAUUCCCCACCAUCCAUUAGGCCCCACCGCCACUUUUCCCUCUUUCGUUGAAACGGUCUCCGGCGACCUGAGGAAACCGUCUCUCUUUCUCUCUGCGAUUCCAGCUCUGCUUUCUAUUCAGUCUGUAUCGGCCAUUAAAAGUGAAAAAAAAGGCAAAGUGUUAUUGAUUAGAUUAUUAAAAGAAUUCGCUGUCGUUUUGAUUUAAUUAAUGGAUUCUGAUGCCGUUUGAUUGAUUCGGAAAUGUAGGGCUGUGUUUGCGUGCUUUAAAAUAACUUUGUUUCUUUUUUCUUUUUUCUUUUUCUUUCCUGGAAUCACAAGGCAGAAACGAAUUUGAAUUAAUGACAAUACCAUUUAUUGUUCCAGCAAUUUAUUUGAUAUAUUAGGAAUAAUUUGAUGAACACAAGGAUUUUAGGAAGUUAAAUGGUCUCCUUGAUUAUUCCCUGUUUGGUUCUUUUUGUUUCAGAUCAGACUCUUCAACAAUAAUAAGUUUUAUCUAGUGAGUAUUGGUGGGUAUUUUUCUUUUCCUUUCAUGGGUGCUAUGGAAAGUCCGGUGGUGAAGAACAAAGAAGAUUGUAUACCAGGAGAGGUUAAGGAAGCCUUGAAGUCAUUGGCGUCCAAGUGGGAGGAUGUGCUUGAUGCAAAUGCAUUGCAGGUGAUCCCUCUUAAGGGGGCGAUGACCAAUCAGGUCUUUCAAAUCAAGUGGCCAACAAAGACGGAACAAGGCUCACAUAAGGUUCUGGUAAGGAUUUAUGGUGAUGGUGUGGAGGUCUUCUUUGACAGGAAUGAUGAGAUCCGGACAUUUGAGUUCAUGUCUAAACAAGGGCAGGGUCCUCGUCUACUGGGCCGGUUCUCAAAUGGGCGAAUUGAAGAGUUCAUUCAUGCAAGGACUCUGUCAGCAUCUGAUUUGCGUGAUCCUGAUGUAUCUGCUCUCAUAGCAGCUAAAUUGAAGGAGUUCCAUGGUCUUCAGAUGCCUGGUCCAAAGAAUGUGUGCCUGUGGGAUAGGUUGCGGAAUUGGCUGAAAACAGCUAAGAGUAUGUGUCCUCCUGAAGAAGCUAGAGCUGUUCGAUUGGAUGCCAUGGAGCAGGAAAUCUCCUUAUUGGAAAAGGAGCUCUCUGGAGAUCAAAGAAUUGGCUUCUGUCAUAAUGAUUUACAGUAUGGUAACAUAAUGAUCGAUGAAGAGACAAAAGCAAUUACCAUAAUAGUAAGUCUCUUUUCUUUCAAUAGUUUAUUCAAUCUAUGAAUUUGUUACAUCACUUUCAAAUAGCGAAAUCAUAUCCCUAAUUCUUUGUAAAAGCUUUAUUAGGAAUAUUUUAACUAUUCUAUCUUCUUAUUGUUUUGAUUGAUAAUUGAUGUUACUAUCUUCCUUUAAUGUUUUUUCUUGGGUUAAUAAUCAUUAUUCAUUACUUAUUAAUUUUCUUCUUUGGACUCUGGAAUCUAUCGUAGAAACAGCAAAUAAUUUGCUCAUCUGUAAUUUUAUAUUAGAAUUGGAGGUAGACAUAAUAUGGUACCCAGAGUUGUAAAAUGAUCUUCCUUUAAUGUUUUAAUUGGCUAUGAAACUUGUUACUUUAAAAAAAAAAUUGUUAUUUCUUGAUCUUUGUUAGUUAUUUUGAUAUUUAUUUGUUUACCAACUUCUUGAACCUAUUACCUACCUAUUGGAAACAAAUAGUUAGUGCAUUCGUACUGCAUUUAUUCUUGUGCCAUUUCAUGUUUUAAUUUUAGCAAUAUCGUUGCCCAUAUCAUGAAUGCCCCUUGGUUCGCUUUGUUCUCCUAUGAUGCAUUCAACCAAGUAUGCACAAUAAUGCAAGUAGAGUUGUGACUCUGCCUGGUUGAAUGAGCUAUAGGACAUUGAUGGCGUGACUAGUGAUCUCAUGGAUUCUCUAUUUUCUGAGGUCAAAUGGAGAUAGAUGUUUCAGGUAAAAAUAAUAUCAAGUAACAAAUUUAUUCUUGUUCAUUUCCUUUGAAUUGGGUUCCUAAAUGUGCAUUCAUCUGAGAUUGACGUUUGGUUAAAUUCUACUCUGUUUGAAUUUUUCCUCAAUAUGAAAAUCUCUUAUCAUUUGGCUAACUAGGAGAAUUAAUGCAUUGGUUGAUUAAAUUUAAUUGCAUUUGGUGCGGCUUAAUAUAAAUUAAUAUUUGACAAAAUUUGUUGAAUCUCUUCCUGGUUCCUGCACCACUUGAUUUUCAAUCAAUUUCCAAGCGUCUAUCUUAAUUUGAAGUUUAAAAAAAAAAAUUGCAAAGUCAAGUGUUUUCAAGUGUAGAAUUGUUAAUUAUUGACAUUUUCGUAAUUUAAGAUCCUGAGAAAUAUGAUUACAUGAAGUCUUACAAGCCUGCUGGUGGAUGUGGUCAUGGAUGUGAAUCGACUUCAAAUUUAACUUGCUCCAUGUUAUUCACAAACUGCAACCUAUGCCUACAUUCAUGUAAUCAGUAGCUAACAGAAAUUGAGAUCAAUAUAAAUUUUCUGAGUCUUUAAUUUGUGAUAAUGUUACAAAUCACAUGAAUUGGUGUUUUUAUGAUUUUUUUAUUUUGGGCACAAUGCUUAAUUAGUAAUCUGUCAUUGAUUAUAUGUCUUGUUUUCCAGGAUUAUGAAUAUGCAAGUUACAAUCCCUUUGCCUUUGAUAUAGCAAACCACUUCUGUGAGAUGGCUGCUGACUAUCACACUGAUACGCCACAUAUUAUGGACUAUAGUAAAUACCCU
rnacentral:misc_RNA from 1 species